GGUUCCGUGGUGUAGCGGUUAUCACGUCUGCUUUACACGCAGGACGUCCCCGGUUCGAUCCCGAGCGGAACCA